rnacentral:rRNA from 1 species
CAUAGGUUAACGAGGCGAACCGGGGGAACUGAAACAUCUAAGUACCCCGAGGAAAAGAAAUCAACCGAGAUUCCCCCAGUAGCGGCGAGCGAACGGGGAGCAGCCCAGAGUCUGAAUCAGCUUGUGUGUUAGUGGAAGCGUCUGGAAAGUCGCACGGUACAGGGUGACAGUCCCGUACACGAAAGCACACAGGUUGUGAACUCGAAGAGUAGGGCGGGACACGUGGUAUCCUGUCUGAAUAUGGGGGGACCAUCCUCCAAGGCUAAAUACUCCUGACUGACCGAUAGUGAACCAGUACCGUGAGGGAAAGGCGAAAAGAACCCCGGCGAGGGGAGUGAAAAAGAACCUGAAACCGUGUACGUACAAGCAGUGGGAGCACCUUCGUGGUGUGACUGCGUACCUUUUGUAUAAUGGGUCAGCGACUUAUAUUCUGUAGCAAGGUUAACCGUAUAGGGGAGCCGAAGGGAAACCGAGUCUUAACUGGGCGUUAAGUUGCAGGGUAUAGACCCGAAACCCGGUGAUCUAGCCAUGGGCAGGUUGAAGGUUGGGUAACACUAACUGGAGGACCGAACCGACUAAUGUUGAAAAAUUAGCGGAUGACUUGUGGCUGGGGGUGAAAGGCCAAUCAAACCGGGAGAUAGCUGGUUCUCCCCGAAAGCUAUUUAGGUAGCGCCUCGUGAACUCAUCUUCGGGGGUAGAGCACUGUUUCGGCUAGGGGGCCAUCCCGGCUUACCAACCCGAUGCAAACUACGAAUACCGAAGAAUGUUAUCACGGGAGACACACGGCGGGUGCUAACGUCCGUCGUGAAGAGGGAAACAACCCAGACCGCCAGCUAAGGUCCCAAAGUCAUGGUUAAGUGGGAAACGAUGUGGGAAGGCACAGACAGCCAGGAUGUUGGCUUAGAAGCAGCCAUCAUUUAAAGAAAGCGUAAUAGCUCACUGGUCGAGUCGGCCUGCGCGGAAGAUGUAACGGGGCUAAACCAUG